GCGCAAGUGAAAUACCACU
rnacentral:snRNA from 1 species